rnacentral:rRNA from 1 species
UGCUGGUUUUGUUGGUUGGGUUAAAUCUUCCAUUCAGAGCUAGCACAUUUUCAUGUUAUUUUAUUGCUGUGCUAUUGUCGGCGUGCACUUCUCUCUUAGUAGGACGUCCCGACCCGUUAAGCCUUAGCCUACGGCCCGAAUGGUAGCCUUUAAUAUUUUUAUAUUAAAGACCUUUGGUGUUUGUCUGGCCUAAGUACUUGACGGUAGUUAUGAUAUGGUAUUAAGCCGCAAAUUUUUUUGCGUCCGGCCUGCCGCAAGUUUAUUGACAAAUUCUGUAUUAUCAUAGACCUUGUGCUAUGUAUAUGGUUUUGUUGGCUGUUUGCAUGGCUGUGCUCUUGGACUGGCUGAUGAUAUACCUGUCAGGGACGCUUAGGCUUUGGGUACUCUCAGGACCCGUCUUGAAACACGGACCAAGGAGUCUAACAUGUACGCGAGUCAUUGGGUAUAUAUUUUCCUUCGGGAAUUUAUAUAAAACAAACCUAAAGGCGAAAUGAAAGUAAAGGUC